AAUCAACGCUGGCGGCGUGCCUAACACAUGCAAGUCGAACGCGAAAAUCCCGCAAGGGAUUAGUAGAGUGGCAAACGGGUGAGUAACGCGUGGGUGACCUGCCUUCGAGCGGGGGAUAACGUUCCGAAAGGGACGCUAAUACCGCAUAACAUCCUGCCUUUGAAGAGGUGGAGAUCAAAGCUGGGGAUCGCAAGACCUAGCACUUGAAGAGGGGCCCGCGUCUGAUUAGCUAGNGGUGAGGUAACGGCUCACCAAGGCUUCGAUCAGUAUCCGGCCUGAGAGGGCGGACGGACACACUGGGACUGAGACACGGCCCAGACUCCUACGGAGGCAGCAGUGGGGAAUUGUUCGCAAUGGGCGCAAGCCUGACGACGCAACGCCGCGUGGAGGAUGAAGA
rnacentral:rRNA from 1 species